AUGUCGAAGUGGCCGGGAGCGACGAAGAAGAGGCUGAAGCGCGGCCUCUGGUCGCCGGAGGAGGACGAGAAGCUCAUGAACCACGUUGCCCAGUACGGCUACGGCUGCUGGAGCUCUGUCGCCAAGAUUGCAGGCCUUGAGAGGUGCGGGAAGAGCUGCAGGCUGAGGUGGAUGAACUACCUGACGACGGGCCGAGGGGGCGCCUUCUCGCAGGAGGAGGAGGACUUCAUCAUCCACCUCCACUCCAUCCGCGGCAACAAGUGGUCUCAGAUCGCCGCGCACCUGCCCGGGCGCACGGACAAUGAGGUCAAGAACUUCUGGAAUUCCUUCAUCAAGAAGAAGCUCCGCCAGCGCGGCAUCGACCCGGCCACACACGAACACAAGCCUCUCGACCCCGCCGCCCCUGCCGCCCCCGCCACGCCCGUCAGCCGCAACGCCGUGUUCAGCGAGAAUGAGCUGAUACUGUCGUCGCCCGUGGGGGGACCGCACAUGCCGCCGCUGGUGUCGGCGGAGAGCUACGUGUACAGUCGGGGGCAGCACGGACGGCGCCGGCGGUGCGCACGCCGCGGUCGGCGGGUGCAGCGAUGA
rnacentral:rRNA from 1 species